AAUCAGCCGGUACUCGCGAUGCANCUANNAUUAAGUUGAUCAUGGCUCAGAUCGAACGCUGUCGGCAUGCCUUACACAUGCAAGUCGAACGGUAACAGGUCUUCGGACGCUGACGAGUGGCGAACGGGUGAGUAAUACAUCGGAACGUGCCCAGUCGUGGGGGAUAACUACUCGAAAGAGUAGCUAAUACCGCAUACGAUCUGAGGAUGAAAGCGGGGGACCUUCGGGCCUCGCGCGAUUGGAGCGGCCGAUGGCAGAUUAGGUAGUUGGUGGGAUAAAAGCUUACCAAGCCGACGAUCUGUAGCUGGUCUGAGAGGACGACCAGCCACACUGGGACUGAGACACGGCCCAGACUCCUACGGGAGGCAGCAGUGGGGAAUUUUGGACAAUGGGCGAAAGCCUGAUCCAGCAAUGCCGCGUGCAGGAUGAAGGCCUUCGUGGUUGUAAACUGCUUUUGUACGGAACGAAAAAGCUCCUUCUAAUACAGGGGGCCCAUGACGGUACCGUUAAGAAUAAGCACCGGCUAACUACGUAGCCAGCAGCCGCGGUAAUACGUAGGGUGCGAGCGUUAAAUCGGAAUUACUUG
rnacentral:rRNA from 1 species